AGCCCAGGAUGAAAUAAUUCAUUUCAUUGAUCCCACAAAACAAUAUUUUAUAAUAAAAUACCUAAGC
rnacentral:tRNA from 1 species